rnacentral:lncRNA from 1 species
GUUGAAGCCCUGCUGGGAGGGUUGGGCGUUUCCAGCCAUUCUCACACGGCUUCUCAGCCGGGGUCUCCCACCCCGGCCCUGGCCCUGGGCCUGCCCUCACUGCCUCCUCCCCAUCCCCUACCCCUAGAGGCCUCCUGCCCUGGUCACCUACGCGUCACCUAAGCCCCGAGGCCAGGCGGCUUCUUGUCUACUAAAGACUUCCGGAGAGAGGCAUUCACCCUGUGGUCAGAGCUGGGGUUUCCAUGGAGGAGCACCACAGCCAUAAAGAAAGUUAUGGAGGCUGUGAAGUGCAAGGUCAAGAGGCUGCAUCUGGUGAAGACCUUCUUGCUGGUAGGGUCUCUCUACCUGGUCCUGAGGCAGUCCAGGGCAUCACAUGGCUGGUGAGCCCCAGAGCGGAGGACCCUGCCGAGCUGUUUCCAGACUCCUGAUCCACAGAAACCGUGAGAGGAUAACAUUGUUCUGCUUGAAGCCACUACACCUGCCGUCACUUGUCUCGCAUCAUUAGGGAACCAACGUGCUCUGGAAGACAGCAACUCUCAGGGUCCAUUCCGCUGACACCAGCGCCUCAGAUGACACAGGACGUGGCAUGGUGGCUAUUGACUCAUCAAGGGAACAGCAAUGGCCACUCUGCACCUUGCAUUCCUAUCCUUUUUUGGGCUUCAGAUCAGAAAUCGCAACUUUUGCGUGGAGAUCCUGGGCCUCCACACUGCUGGCCUCCCAUCGUCCCAAGAAUGACUCCCUGGAAAGAGCCUGUUCAGACCCUUUGUGACUGGACUCUACUGUAAGAGGAGAAUCAAAUGCUUGCAAGAAAACUGUAAAGCAGAGUUUCCUAAAAUACAUUUCAUAAGCGUGAGUGCCAGGAGUGCCUUAAAAAUGUGACUCUAUUGUCAAAUAAGUUGGGCAAUUUACUGAAGUAUACAUGAAUAUGUUAAAACCUCCAAGGAGUCCUGAAUUUAAAACAAACCUACACACAAAAACAAAGGUAUUUUUUAACCUAUCUGUUUGUUUGUUUGUUUUUGUUUGUUCAUUUGUUUUGAGACAGACUC